CAGACAACUAGGAUGUUGGCUUAGAAGCAGCCAUCAUUUAAAGAGUGCGUAAUAGCUCACUAGUCGAGUGACACUGCGCCGAAAAUGUACCGGGGCUAAACAUAUUACCGAAGCUGUGGAUUGUCCUUUGGACAAUGGUAGGAGAGCGUUCUAAGGGCGUUGAAGCAUGAUCGUAAGGACAUGUGGAGCGCUUAGAAGUGAGAAUGCCGGUGUGAGUAGCGAAAGACGGGUGAGAAUCCCGUCCACCGAUUGACUAAGGUUUCCAGAGGAAGGCUCGUCCGCUCUGGGUUAGUCGGGUCCUAAGCUGAGGCCGACAGGCGUAGGCGAUGGAUAACAGGUUGAUAUUCCUGUACCACCUAUAAUCGUUUUAAUCGAUGGGGGGACGCAGUAGGAUAGGCGAAGCGUGCGAUUGGAUUGCACGUCUAAGCAGUAAGGCUGAGUAUUAGGCAAAUCCGGUACUCGUUAAGGCUGAGCUGUGAUGGGGAGAAGACAUUGUGUCUUCGAGUCGUUGAUUUCACACUGCCGAGAAAAGCCUCUAGAUAGAAAAUAGGUGCCCGUACCGCAAACCGACACAGGUAGUCAAGAUGAGAAUUCUAAGGUGAGCGAGCGAACUCUCGUUAAGGAACUCGGCAAAAUGACCCCGUAACUUCGGGAGAAGGGGUGCUCUUUAGGGUUAACGCCCAGAAGAGCCGCAGUGAAUAGGCCCAAGCGACUGUUUAUCAAAAACACAGGUCUCUGCUAAACCGUAAGGUGAUGUAUAGGGGCUGACGCCUGCCCGGUGCUGGAAGGUUAAGAGGAGUGGUUAGCUUCUGCGAAGCUACGAAUCGAAGCCCCAGUAAACGGCGGCCGUAAC
rnacentral:rRNA from 1 species